rnacentral:rRNA from 1 species
UACGUAGGGUGCAAGCGUUGUCCGGAAUUAUUGGGCGUAAAGAGCUCGUAGGCGGUCUGUCGCGUCUGCUGUGAAAACUCGGGGCUUAACCCCGGCCUGCAGUGGGUACGGGCAGACUAGAGUGCGGUAGGGGAGACUGGAAUUCCUGGUGUAGCGGUGAAAUGCGCAGAUAUCAGGAGGAACACCGGUGGCGAAGGCGGGUCUCUGGGCCGUAACUGACGCUGAGGAGCGAAAGCGUGGGGGAGCAAACAGGAUUAGAUAC